rnacentral:rRNA from 1 species
AGGGAAUAUUGCACAAUGGAGGAAACUCUGAUGCAGCGACGCCGCGUGAGUGACGAAGGCCUUCGGGUUGUAAAGCUCUGUUCUCAGGGAAAAAGCAAGUGAUUGUACCUGAGAAGAAAGGACCGGCUAACUUCGUGCCAGCAGCCGCGGUAAGACGAGGGGUCCAAGCGUUGUUCGGAAUCAUUGGGCGUAAAGCGGGUGUAGGCGGCCCUAUAAGUCAGAAGUGAAAGCCCCGAGCUCAACUUGGGAAGUGCUUUUGAUACUGCAGGGCUUGAAUGUGGGAGAGGGUAGUGGAAUUCCUGGUGUAGUGGUGAAAUACGUAGAUAUCAGGAGGAACACCGGUGGCGAAGGCGGCUACCUGGCCCAACAUUGACGCUGAGACCCGAAAGCAUGGGGAUCAAAC